rnacentral:rRNA from 1 species
GGGUUCGAUCAUGGCUCAGAUUGAACGCGCUGGCGGGAUGCUUUACACAUGGCAGUCGAACGGCAGCACGGACUUCGGUCUGGUGGCGAGUGGCGAACAGGUGAGUAAUGUAUCGGAACGUGCCUAAUGGCGGGGAUAACUACGCGAAAGCGUAGCUAAUACGCCCUUCGGGGAAAGCGGGGAACGCCCUGGACUCUGCACUAUUAGAGCGGCCGAUAUCGGAUGGCGCUAGUUGGUGGGGUAACGGCUCACCAAGGCGACGAUCCGUAGCUGGUUUGAGAGGACGACCAGCCACACUGGGACUGAGACACAGCCCGAACUCCUGGAGGCAGCAGUGGGGGUAUUUUUGGACAUGGAAACCUGAUCCAGCCAUCCCCGCGUGUUGCGAUGAAGGCCUUCGGGUUGUAAAGCACUUUUGGCAGGAAAGAAACGGCGCGGGAUACAUAUGCCGGUGACGAAAGCGGUACCUGCAGAAUAAGCACCAGCUAACUACGUGCCAGCCGCGGUAUGCGGCAGGGUGCAAGCGUUAAUCAAUUACUGGGCGUAGCGUGCUUUUGACGGUUCGGAAAAGAAGAUGUGAAAUCCCAAGAGCUUAACUUUGGAACUGCAUUUUUAACUACCGAGCUGAAAUUGUCCCGGAGGUGGAAUUCCGCGUGUAGCAGUGAAAUGCGUAGAUAUGCGGAGGAACACCGAUGGCGAAGGCAGCCUCCUGGGAUAACACUGACGCUCAUGCACGAAAGCGUGGGAGCAAACAGGAUUAGAUACCCUGGUGAUCCGCCUAAACAGAUGUAACUAGCUGUUGGGGCGCCCGGGCCUUGGUAUUGGCGCAACUAACGCGUGAAGUUGACGCCUGGGGAGGCCGAUCGCAAGAUUAAAACUCAAAGGAAUUGACGGGGACCCGCACAAGCGGUGGAUGAUGUCGGAUUAAUUCGAUGCAACGCGAAAAACCUUACCUACCCCUGACAUGUCUGGAAUCCCGAGGUGCCCGGGAGUGCUCGCAAGAGAACCCGGAACAGGUGCUGCAUGGCUGUCGAUAAACAAUAUAGUGAGAUGUUGGGUUCAGUCCUGGCGCGAGGCACAGCCCGCCGUGCAUUAGUUGCUGCGAAAGGGCACUCUAAUGAGACUGCCGGUGACAAACCAGAGGAGAGGUGGGGAUGACGUCAGUCCUCUUGGCCUGUGGGUAGGGCUUCACACGUCAUACAAUGGUCGGGACAGAGGGUCGCCAGCCCGCGAGGGCCAAUCCCAGAAACCCGAUCGUAGUCGGAUCAAAGUCUGCAACUCGACUGUGGAGAAGUCGGAAUCGCUAGUAAUCGCGGAUCAGCAUGUCGCGCGAGUGAAUAGUCCCGGGUCUUGUACACACCGCCCGUCACACCAUGGGAGUGGGUUUUACCAGAAGUAGUUAGCCUAACCGUAGGGAGGGCGAUUACCACGGUAGGAUUCAUGACUAUAGGUGAAGUCGUAACAAGGUAA